UGUAAUCUUCGAGAAAUCGAUCGUCAUCGAGAUCAUCCUCGAGGUCCUCGAGGUCCUCUUCGUUCUUGCUAUCAAUCCAAGAUUUAUCUUUAGGAAUGGAAUCUUCGUCUGGAGCUGGAGUAAAAGACGGUGGCUUGAAAGCAGGUGGUUUUUCUGGUAAAUUCCCAAGCUUUCUCUGUAUAUCAUCCCACUGCGUCGAUGCUCCUUCCACAUCCUUAUACACAAAAUGGUAAUCCGCCAUUACUCUGCUUUUCGAUCUUGUUUCUUCCUAGGUUGUUUCUGGUAUUUUCUGACCUUCCAAACUGAUUUGUGCUAUUCCAGCAAGUAUAUUUAUUCCUUUAAGCUGGGGUAUUUUUGGGCUUUUGUUGGGCCAUCAGCCCAUCAAGUCCUUCUCCUAUUUAUAUCCGAGUUGAUACCGAGUCCCUCUGCUAACGCGGACACACAAAGGAAAGAAAGUGGGAAAAUUUCUCUGUUUUGAGUGUAUUUGUUGAUUGAUUGAUUGUUCGAUCAUCAGAAGGGAAAAUCGAGGAUGAACUCUAUAGAAUCGGUAUUGACGCUAAUCCAAGGACUAUCGAGUAGCUUAACGGAUAUCUCUGCUCUUCACACUUACUUGAAACAAGUAGGAAAGAAAAGCAACAAAGCAAUCACAAGUAAAUACCUUCAGGGGUACAUCUCCGGCCAAAACUCUGCAGACCCACAUAAUUUGCUUUCACCGCACCAUUAUUGUACACCAAUAAAGUGGGAAGAUUACGAUCCGGGUAGUUUGGUAUACAAUCUGUAGAUAUGAUCUUAACGAACUUUGUAGCAGGAUAUCUAGUUGCCAAUUCUUCCAGACAUCGCAUCAAUACUCCACAUUCCUGGUAUCUAUCGAGAGAAAAAUAAAAAAAUAAACUAAAACGAUAAUCGAGCAAGGCCGUAGCUUGUAUUAGCCAAAUUUAGAUCACAGAAAUAAUGUCUAAAGCUAUACCCAUCCUUGUAGAGAACCACAACAACCCAAACAUCAGGUGGAGCUUGAGACACUUCUCUCACAAAAUCUGACCCCGAAAUUGGAAGCACUGAUCCAAACCUAGAAAUUUUAACUGCUUCCCUCAUCUCUGCCAACCUCUUCUUCCUAUCAACACACAUUUCACCAUUAAAACAAGAAAACUUUCCAUAAAAAGAAAACAUAUUUAAUUCAAAAAGAAAAACAACUCCCCAGUGACUUCAAUGAGCUCCAUCCCCAGCCAUUUGAUACUUUUCACUAGCUUUCUUGAUUUCCAAAAAGACUAUAGAAAAAAAAAUUUCAAUUUAGUUGCAGAUCAAUUGAAAGAUAGAGAGAGACCUGUAAUCUUCGAGAAAUCGAUCGUCAUCGAGAUCAUCCUCGAGGUCCUCGAGGUCCUCUUCGUUCUUGCUAUCAAUCCAAGAUUUAUCUUUAGGAAUGGAAUCUUCGUCUGGAGCUGGAGUAAAAGACGGUGGCUUGAAAGCAGGUGGUUUUUCUGGUAAAUUCCCAAGCUUUCUCUGUAUAUCAUCCCACUGCGUCGAUGCUCCUUCCACAUCCUUAUACACAAAAUGGUAAUCCGCCAUUACUCUGCUUUUCGAUCUUGUUUCUUCCUAGGUUGUUUCUGGUAUUUUCUGACCUUCCAAACUGAUUUGUGCUAUUCCAGCAAGUAUAUUUAUUCCUUUAAGCUGGGGUAUUUUUGGGCUUUUGUUGGGCCAUCAGCCCAUCAAGUCCUUCUCCUAUUUAUAUCCGAGUUGA
rnacentral:lncRNA from 1 species